rnacentral:rRNA from 1 species
AGCAGCCGCGGUAAUUCCAGCUCCAAUAGCGUAUAUUAAAGUUGUUGCAGUUAAAAAGCUCGUAGUUGAACUUCGGAAACGGUGGGUUGGUCGUGCCCCCGGUACGUACUGGCCCUGCCGGUUCCUCCCUUCUGACGAACCACGAUGCCAUUAAUUUGGUGUUGCGGGGAAUCAGGACUGUUACUUUGAAAAAAUUAGAGUGUUUAAAGCAGGCUAAAGCUUGAAUAGAUUAGCAUGGAAUAACGAAAUAGGACGUUUGAUCUUAUUUUGUUGGUUUCUAAGAUCGACGUA